rnacentral:tRNA from 1 species
ACUUAGAUAGUUUAAUUUAGAACAGUAAUUUGUGGUGUUAUAGGUGUAUUUUACUCUAAGUU